UACGUAGGGUGCAAGCGUUGUCCGGAAUUAUUGGGCGUAAAGAGCUCGUAGGCGGUUUGUCGCGUCGAAUGUGAAAACCCGGGGCUCAACCCCGGGCCUGCAUUCGAUACGGGCAGACUAGAGUUCGGUAGGGGAGUCUGGAAUUCCUGGUGUAGCGGUGAAAUGCGCAGAUAUCAGGAGGAACACCGGUGGCGAAGGCGGGACUCUGGGCCGAUACUGACGCUGAGGAGCGAAAGCUAGGGGAGCAAACAGG
rnacentral:rRNA from 1 species